rnacentral:rRNA from 1 species
UAUAACUAAGCGGAGGAAAAGAAACUAACAAGGAUUCCCCCAGUAACGGCGAGUGAAGCGGGAAGAGCUCACGUUGUGAAUCUGGCCCUCGGGCCCGAACUGUACUCUGGAGAGGCGUGGCCAGCCGCUGUCCGCGGCCAAGUCUGAUUGGAAAUGAGCAUCAAGGAGGGUGACAAUCCCGUCCAUGCCGCGGUAUCGACCAGCGCGCGUCCGGCCCGCUUUCGACGAGUCGAGUUGCUUGGGAUUGCAGCUCAAAGAGGGUGGUAAACUCCAUCCAAAGCUAAACACGGGGGGGAGACCGAUAGCGAACAAGUACCGUGAGGGAAAGAUGCAAAGAACUUUGAAAAGAGAGUUAAAGAGUGCCUGAAAUUGCUGGAAGGGAAGCGAAGGAAAGAAGUGUGCGGUUGCCCGGGCGCCAACCCCUACCUGUCCGCAGGUGGGGGUAGGCCGCCCGGCCGCGGUCAGGGGCCGCGCCGGGCUCGGGGGAAGAGCCGUCGGGGAUCGGUAGGCGUGCCGCUUCGGCGGGGCGCUGUCAGGCCCCGGUGGUACAAUAAUUGCCCUGAGCCCGGCCCCCUUCUGGCGGUCGCGGCUUUUCUUCACCCCG